GCAAGUUGAGCGCUGAAGGGUUGGUACUUGUACCGACUGGAUGAGCAGCGAACGGGUGAGUAACGCGUGGGGAAUCUGCCUUUGAGCGGGGGACAACAUUUGGAAACGAAUGCUAAUACCGCAUAAAAACUUUAAACACAAGUUUUAAGUUUGAAAGAUGCAAUUGCAUCACUCAAAGAUGAUCCCGCGUUGUAUUAGCUAGUUGGUGAGGUAAAGGCUCACCAAGGCGAUGAUACAUAGCCGACCUGAGAGGGUGAUCGGCCACAUUGGGACUGAGACACGGCCCAAACUCCUACGGGAGGCAGCAGUAGGGAAUCUUCGGCAAUGGACGAAAGUCUGACCGAGCAACGCCGCGUGAGUGAAGAAGGUUUUCGGAUCGUAAAACUCUGUUGGUAGAGAAGAACGUUGGUGAGAGUGGAAAGCUCAUCAAGUGACGGUAACUACCCAGAAAGGGACGGCUAACUACGUGCCAGCAGCCGCGGUAAUACGUAGGUCCCGAGCGUUGUCCGGAUUUAUUGGGCGUAAAGCGAGCGCAGGUGGUUUAUUAAGUCUGGUGUAAAAGGCAGUGGCUCAACCAUUGUAUGCAUUGGAAACUGGUAGACUUGAGUGCAGGAGAGGAGAGUGGAAUUCCAUGUGUAGCGGUGA
rnacentral:rRNA from 1 species